GGGGUCGUGGCCUAGCCCGGGAAGGCGACUGGCUCCAGACCAGUCGAUCGGGGGUUCAAAUCCCUCCGACCCCA
rnacentral:tRNA from 1 species